rnacentral:lncRNA from 1 species
AAUCCCGCGGCUCGGAGCCCAGACCGUGUAAGCCCCUCCCGAGGGAAGCAGAUGGUGGGCACCCAGGCGGCGGCCGCCCUCCCGGCUCACCUGCCUUGCACGUCUGGCGUUGUCCUGAAGCUGCACGCCCGUGGGGCAGGCGCAGGCGUAGAAGGGCUCCAGCGGGACAGCAGGCACAGAUGGGAGCAGCGCGUUGUCCUCCUCACACGCGUGUGGUCUGCGGAAGCAGGCGGGGACACCAUUCGGAACUGACCCUCGACCCCCACUCCCGCCUCGCCCGACGUGGGCAUCCUCCCGCCCCUCCUCCUCCCAAUUUCCUACAAUGAGAAACCCGUCUACAUCAGGGCCCUCCAUGGCCACCUCCCCAUGGAGGCCACCCCAGCCCUCGCUGGCAGGAUCCCAGGACCUGUCCGCCUGGCAGUGGUGCCGCCCUGGGUUGGGGUUCCUAAACAGAGGCCUGUCUUAUCUGUCACGUGCUUGGACCUCAUGGGCUCUGCACAGGCGCUCGAUGGCCACACAGGGCCGAGUCUCUCGAUGCUGAUGACGAGACUUUUGCUCUCCUGGCACAAUGCAACUGAACUGACACUCCCAGCAUCUCACUCUGCCCAGGACAGGAUUGGGGGGGGACCCAUGAAGCGCGAAGUGCUGAAAGUGUUAGUCGCUCAGUUGUGUCCGACUUUCUCCAGGCAAGAACAGUGGAGUGGAUUGCCAGUCUCUUCUCCAGGAAUCUUCCCAACCCAAGGAUUGAACCUAGCUUGCAUUUAAGGACCACGGAGCUCUCCCAGAAGACAAGUCCAGAGGCCCCACCCUGGGACUCUACUUAAAUUCAAAGUUGGGACCUUCAACAGCAUCAAGGCCAAAAUCCACCCACACUCUCUGUGGUCCCCAUGGGACCUGGUGGAGUCCCGUAAGAGCAGGUGGUGGUCCUUGAGGGUGGGUGAACCCAAGUCCCUGGCCCUGCUGGCUGCCUGUCACAGGGCUUUUCACCAUCAGAGACCCUCCACGACCCCAUGGAGAGCCCAGGCUGAGAACUCAGACCUGGAGCAGAUUUUCCAUGAGUAAGUAUGUAAUCUCCACUGGGCCUUGAAAACAGGGCAACCUUCCUUGGGAAUCCUUCUUCCAUCCCUGAGGACAGCCCUGCCCAAAGCAGCCCCCACGCCAGCUCUACAGAGGACCUCUCCCAGCCUGCCCCUCCCAUGCGAAGACACCAGCCUCCCGCGCUCAGCCCGGCCCGGCCCCUGACUUACAAUAAGGCUGUCGCCCGGCUGAGCACUUGAAUAUCCAUGGGCGAGUAGAGAGCGCUAAGGAUCUCCUUCCUCUUGUCUCCAGUCCUCUUGUUACAGGCGUGGAUGGGCGGGUCUGCCAGUCUGUCCAGUACAGAGUGUCUCCAGAGAGCGUCAGGGCAAAGGGGUGCGUCAGACUGCCCUCCACGACCUUCUGCCUGCAGGGGCGGGUGGAGAAGCCAUCACGGGGUGGUCCCCACUGCGUUCCCCUUCUUGUAAGCCUUCCAUCGUCACUGCUGACCCAUCGACAUCACACCGGCUCAUGGAGCGGUGAUGGAGCAGCCUGAGACCCCAGCACCCCAGGAACCCUCCAUCAGGUUGCACCUUUCAGACCCAGCCAACCCCCACCACCCCUGACAAUGACAUGGGCGCCUUGCACACAAUUGCUCCCCAUCCAACCUGAUUCUAGAGUGGGGAUGCCAGCAAAAUACCCACAAGGAAGAAACACGGAAGAGAGGUGGCAAGCCAGAAGCCACAUCUGGAGGCAACACACAGAUGACAAUCACAGCUGUCCUGCCCUAACAGCUGAAUACAACCAGAACAAAAGUAACAUGCCCUUUCCUCUGAAACCAAUCAUUUAUUUACCAAAGCAAAUUAAACUUGCAUCAAUCUGAAAAUUAAAAAAGGUAGUCUCUUCUGUCUAUUAGGGCAUCCCAGGUGGCCCAGUGAUAAAGAAUCCGCCUGCCAAUGCAGGAGACACAGGAGAUGUGGGUUCGAUCCUGGGUCAGGAAGAUCCCUGGAGGAGGAAAUGGCAAGCCACUCCAGUGUUCUUGCCUGGAGAAUCCCAUGGACAGAGGAGCCUGGCAGGCUACAGUCCAUGGGGUAGCAAAGGUCAGACACAACUUAGCGAUGAAGCACCUACAGGGACAGGGAAGAAGAGUUCUGUGUAUUUACAAUACCCAGCAAACAAGAACUUGUUUUUUCGUGAAAUUAUGGAUGCCGUAAUAGAAUCAUAAUUUACAGCUGGUAGCAUGCAAUUACCUGGUUUGAGGACUCUCGCCCCACUGUAGGGUAGGAGGCAGGAGCUGUGGGUGGGUGGCCACCGGCACGUGCUCAGCCCCGUGCAGCGCCCAGGAGAGAGUAAUACUCGAGAGGCGCCACUGGCGAAGACCACACCCUCGUGCUCAGGGUGGAUCUGACCCGAUCGCCUUCCCUGUUUUUUAGGCGCGCCACUUGUGCGUGGGAUCUUUGUUCCCCAGCCAGGAUCGAACCCGAGCUCCUGCAGUGAAGUGCACAGUCCUAACCACUGGAUCGCCACGGAAGUCCAUUCCCUGUUUUCUUGAUGUCACUUUAAAAAAAAUUUACUGAAUACAAAGGAUCAUUAGAGAAUGUGUUCAGUCACUAAGCCAUGUCUGACUCUUUUACCAUCCCAUGGACUGUAGCCUGCCAAGUUCCUCUGUCCAUGGGAUUUCCCAGCCAACCCCCACCACCCCUGACAAUGACAUGGGCGCCUUGCACACACAAUUGCUCCCCAUCCAACCUGAUUCUAGAGUGGGGAUGCCGGCAAAAUACCCACAAGGAAGAAACACGGAAGAGGUGGCAAGCCAGAAGCCACAUCUGGAGGCAACACACAGAUGACAAUCACAGCUGUCCUGCCCUAACAGCUGAAUACAACCAGAACAAAAGUAACAUGCCCUUUCCUCUGAAACCAAUCAUUUAUUUACCAAAGCAAAUUAAACUUGCAUCAAUCUGAAAAUUAAAAAAGGUAGUCUCUUCUGUCUAUUAGGGCAUCCCAGGUGGCCCAGUGAUAAAGAAUCCGCCUGCCAAUGCAGCAGGCGCUUGGAGGCGUGAGUUCGAUCCCUGGUUCAGGAAGACCCCUGGAGAAGGGAAUGGCAGCCCACUGCAAUAUUCUUGCCUGGGAAAUCCCAUGGACCGAGGAGCCCCGCAGGCUACAGUCCAUGGGGUAGCAAAGGUCAGACACAACUUAGCGAUGAAGCACCUACAGGGACAGGGAAGAAGAGUUCUGUGUAUUUACAAUACCCAGCAAACAAGAACUUGUUUUUUCGUGAAAUUAUGGAUGCGGUAAUAGAAUCAUAAUUUACACAGCUGGUAGCAUGCAAUUACCUGGUUUGAGGACUCUCGCCCCACUGUAGGGUAGGAGGCAGGAGCUGUGGGUGGGUGGCCACCGGCACGUGCUCAGCCCCGGUGCAGCGCCCAGGAGAGUAAUACUCGAGGCGCCACUGGCGAGACCACACCCUCGUGCUCAGGGUGGAUCUGACCCGAUCGCCUCUUCCCUGUUUUUUAGGCGCGCCACGCCGCACGUGGGAUCUUUGUUCCCCAGCCAGGGAUCGAACCCGAGCUCCCUGCAGUGAAGUGCACAGUCCUAACCACUGGAUCGCCACGAGUCCAUUCCCUGUUUUCUUGAUGUCACUUUAAAAAAAAUUUACUGAAUACAAAGGAUCAUUAGAGAAUGUGUUCAGUCACUAAGCCAUGUCUGACUCUUUUACCAUCCCAUGGACUGUAGCCUGCCAAGUUCCUCUGUCCAUGGGAUUUCCCAGGCAAGAAUACUGGAGUGGGUUGCGUUUUCUUCUCAGGGAUCUUCCGACCCAGGGAUCAAAUCCUGCAUUGCCGGCAGAUUCUUUACCACUGAGCCACUAGGAAGCCCUCAUAAGAGAACACUAUACCAACAAAUCAGACAACCUAGAGGAAAUGGAUAAAUUCGAGAAGCAUACAAUCUUCCAAGAGUGAAUCAUGAAGAAACAGAAAAUCUGAAUAGACCAAUAACUAGUAACAAAAUUGAGUCAGUGAUCAAUAAACUCCCCACACAGAAGUUCAGAUCCAGAUGGUUUCAUAGGUGAAUUCAACCAAAUAUUUAAAGAGUUAAUACCUAUACCUCUCCAAUUAUUCCAAAAAUAGAAGAGGAAGCAGAGAAUAGUCAUCACCAAAAGAUCAGACACAACAAGGUUGGCAGGUAGAGAAGAGAAGCCCUUGUGCAUUGUUGGCGGGAUGUAAAUUGGUACAGCCAGUAUGGAGAACAGUAUGCAGCUUCCUCAAAAACUAAAAAUAAAACUACCGUACAAUCCAGCAAUUCCAUAUCUGAAUAAGUUCCUAAGAAAAUGAAAACACAAACUUGAAAAGAUGUAAGGAUCCCUGUGCUCAUUGCAACUGUGAUUACAAUGGCCAAUGUAUGGAAGUAACCUGUGUCCAUAAACAGAUGAACUGAGUGAAUAAAGAAAAGAUGGUGUGUGUGUGUGUGAAUAAAAUCCAGCGGAAUACUAUUCAGCCAUAAAAAUAAUGAAAUCUUGUCAUUUGCGGCACCAUGAAUGGACCUGGAAGUAUUAUGCAAAGUGAAAAAGGUCAGAGAGAAAAGCAAAUACCAUAUGAUUUUCUUGACACGUGAAUUCCAGAAGACAAAAGGGAAACAGACUCAGAGAUACAGAGAACAAACAGGUGGUUGCCAGAGGAAGGAUGGGAAACAGACGAAAUAGAUGGAGGAGAUCAGAGGUACAAACUUCCAGCUACAAGAUAAAUCAGUCAUGGGAUUUAUGUAAUGCACACAUAAAGAAUACGGUCAAUAAAACCAUAAUGAGUUUGCUUGGGGAUGGAUGGCUAACUGUUCUUGCUGUGAUCAUUUCAUAAUUGAAUCACGAUGUUUUACACCUGAAAUGAAUACAGUAAUACUGUAUGCUAAUUAUAACUCCAUAAAAAUAUUAAAAGCCCAAACUCAUAGAUACAGAGAACAGACUAGCGGUUGCCAGGGGUGCAGCAGUGGGUGAAAUAGCUGGAAGAGAUCAAAACACACCAUAUUUCCAGAUUUAAGGUAAGUCAGUCCUAGGGUGUAACGUACAGCAUGUACAUUAACAAUACAUAACAAUGUAUAGUUAACAAUAUUGAAUUGUAUUUAAAAGUUGCCAAGAGGCGGAUCUUGUAAGUUCUCAUCACAAGGGAAAAAUUGUAACUAUGUCUAGGGAUAGAACUGGACAUGGAACAACAGACUGCUUCCCAAUAUGAAAAGGAGUACGUCAAGGAGGUAUAUUGUCACCCUGCUUAUUUAACUUAUAUGCAGAGUACAUCAUCAGAAAUGCUGGGCUGGAUGAAGCACAAGCUGGAAUCAAGAUUGCCAGGAGAAAUAUCAAUAACCUCAGAUAUGCAAAUGACACCACCCUUAUGGCAGAAAGUGAAGAAGAACUAAAGAGCCUCUUGAUGAAAGUGAAAGAGGAGACUGAAAAGUUGGCUUAAAGCUCAACAUUCAGAAAACUAAGAUCAUAGCAUCCAGUCCCAUCACUUCAUGGCAAAUAG